GCGCUCCUGGUAUGUUCGCUACUUCGAUUCGAUUCCAUCUGUUCCGAUCCGAUCCGAUGGCCGGUGGUGUGGUUGCAUUGCACGGCCCCAUGAGUGGGGUUCAAAGAUCACCGUCACCGGCUGUGUGAGGCCACGAAUGUCAUCUUGGUCCCCUUACUACUAUAUUCCUGAUCCACGAUUGUCAUCUUGGUCCCCUGUACGAGUUGAUUAUAUGAUGUUGUGUUCUCAAGUUUUACUCUGAAUUUGUUAGAUGCUGGAUGAAAUUCACGGCUAAGCAAUUUUUUGGUAUGUCUUAACAGAAUGGUGGAAGGGAGGUUGAACUGAUAAAUUUCUGCAACCACCUUGAGGUCCAUAACGUUCUCCUAAUUAUAUGCAGCCCAAUUCGUAAAGUUGUAUUUGUUUGAGGGAGAGGACUGCCUGUGAUCAGAAGCAAACAACUAAUGUGGGUUUCUGCACUACUAAUGUGUGAGAGAUGGUAAGAGUAUGUGCUAUGUAUUUCUGUGUGUGCACUACUAAUGGGGAUUGACUGUUCAUGCUGCUACAGUAGUUUCAUGAUCGAUUAUGGAAACAAGAAAAUUACU
rnacentral:lncRNA from 1 species